rnacentral:rRNA from 1 species
GACGAACGCUGGCGGCGUGCUUAACACAUGCAAGUCGAACGGAAAGGCCCUGCUUUUGUGGGGUUCUCGAUUGGCGAACGGGUGAGUAACACGUGUGUAACCUGCCCUUGACUUUGGGGUAACUUCACGAAACUGGGGCUAAUAUCGGAUAGGAUCUCCUGCUCCAUGGUGGGGGUUGGAUAGUUUCGGCUGUUGGGGAUGGACUCGCGGCUUAUCAGCUUGUUGGUGGGGUAGUUGCAUACCAAGGCUUUGACGGGUAGCCGGCCUGAGAGGGUGAACGGGCACAUGGGGACUGAGAUACGGAGCAGACGCGAACGGGAGGCAGCAGUGGGGAAUAUUGCACAAUGGGCGGAAGCCUGAUGCAGCAGCGCCGCGUGCGGGAUGACGGCCUUCGGGUUGAAAACCGCUUUCGCCUGUGACGAAGCGUGAGUGACGGUAAUGGGUAAAGAAGCACCGGCUAACUACGUG